UUAAAAAAUACUUAUAUAAGUAUUAUUCUCCAAUUGUCAGAGAUGACUUCAUAAUAGCUUGUAGUCUGUUCAUAAUAGCAUUCUUAAUUCUAUAUUAUGCCAAUAUGUGUAUUAUGGUGUGGGUUAUGUGUUCUUAUAAACAUUCAGAUUAAGAUUAGUCUACAACAUAGCCUAAAAUGUAACAAUUUAUUGUUCCUACAAAUGAAAAUGAAAAUAAAAUAAUGUCACAAAACUUUACCAAUGUUAUCUAUAUCAGUUGCUUUCACACAUAACAGUGUAUUAUCUAUAUUAUAUCUAUAGAUAGCUAUGUGUAAUAUGAACAGUUCAGUCUUAUUAGUAAUACAAUUGGAAUGUAAUUUUUUUAACAUUAUUAUUAAGUAUAAAGUGGUAAAAUUUAUUACUUCGGAUUAAAGUGUAGGCGUAGCUGUGGACAGCGGGACAAAGUUGGGUUGACCAUGUAUCCAUCAACAUGAUUAUAUUAACUGGGAACAGUCUAAAUGAGAGGCAUCGGGAGCUGAACACCAAGGUGAAUCAAGCAAUAAGAAAUGGUGUGUCGUUUGAUAAAGUCAAAUUACAAAAUGAGAAGACUGGCAUUGACAGACUGUUUAAAAUAGACUUGGCAAACAAGAAAAAACAAAUAGACUACAUUAUCGAGACCCUCAAGUGCGGAGACAGCGUGUAUAUCACCAGAGCAUUAAAAUGUCAAUGGCUUUGCCCACAAUUGCCCACAUUGUCAAUCCAGAUUACCUGGAACAACAUGUCUUCCCAGAAAUGUCAUUGAAGAUGAGAAGAAAAUUUUUAAAGUUCAUAUCUCAGCAUGUGACCAAUAGUAACCGAGCAUCUCGGUUUUGCUCUUACUGUAUAAAAAUGAAAAUACCG